GAGAGGCACGCAGGCGCGGGCCUUCUGGCGGCACUUUGAGAAAAGUUUUGGCGACGCCCGGACAGUCCUUGCGGUACUCCAUGUAGCUGUAGUGAGGAUUCUGUGAGCUGGAAGGUGGAGAGCAUGCUGCACUCUGUGCCUGAUGUGGACUGUGCACCCAAUGGAGGAGGGAUAUCAUCAUCUCAAACCAUGCCCCUAUCCCCAUUUUACAGGUGAGGAAACUGGGGAUUAGAGGGGACCAGUUCCUAUGAGGUCAGCCAGCAAGUGCUUGGCAGAAUCAAGACUCAAACUGAGAGUUGUCUGCUCCCAUAGCCCAGGACAUUCAUUGAAAGCCUCUGAGUCACCAGGGGCUCUGGGUGUCCCAAGCAACCCCACAAGAACUGUGUUUUCAACUGAUAGAUGAAAAGACCACCAGCCUGGACAACAUGGCAAAACACCUCUACGAAACAAAAAGAAAAAAUUAGCCACACAUGGUGGCGUGCACAUGUCCCAGCCACUCAGGAGGCUGAGGUGGGAGGAUCACUUGAGCCUGGGAGUUCAAGGCUGCAGCAGCAAGCCGUGAUCCUGACAUCAUACUCCAACCUGGGUGACAGCGAGACCCUGUCUCAAAACAAACAACAACAAUAACAAAACACACAAGACUCAGUGGGACAAAUCCCUUCCCUGUGUAGAGGGAACAGGAUUUGAACCCAGGUUGUUCAAUGCCACUUGCUUACUCUGACUCUUCCAUCCACACCAUCAAAUUAUAGCCGAGCGCUGGUAGAAUCCAGUAUCCCUACUCUGGAGUGAGCCCUACCCUCAAAGGGGAAGAGAGGCAAAAAUACAACUCAUACAGAGAAUAA